rnacentral:lncRNA from 1 species
ACAUUUCUUGCAAAUACCCCUUCCAAUAUCCAUCCUUUCAUAAAGAAAGUUUGUUCCCAUGGAGUUAUUUAUCUUCUUUAUCUGACUUCUCCUUUUGACUACAAUAGUCAUGGUCCCUAAACUCCCACUAUCUCUCUUGAAACCUUUUUUCAAUUGUGUUAUACACAUCAAACAUUUUGGAGAGUAUGUGGUUAUUUUUCACUACAUAGUUUACAAUAAACUUAGUGAACGAUUAGGAUAGGGAAACAAAGGUGAAGUCCUUGCCUAGUUUCCGUCUCAUUAAGUGGUUUUAUCACUUCAACACUUAAUUAUUCAAAAUCAUUAUAAAUCCAUGUUAAUGGACUAUUUUUGUCAACCAACCAUUAUGUUCUAAACAUAAUUACAAACUUUAAAGAGUUGUACAAGGCAACUCUUAUUUCUUCACACAACAAAUUGUAAGUGAAGAAUCAUGGCAUAUAAAGUGUCCAUGCCUUUGUGCUUUCUUCUCAAGUUCCUUGUUCAUGUAACAAAGAAACAAGCACUAA